UUAAACCAGCAAAGUGCCUUAGUGAAAUGUGUUUUACAGGAGAGACCAACAUAGAGGGGCACCUGUAAGAAUUUUAAUUGGCCUGCUUUAAUAAUUCGCUACAGUAUCAACUAUGUAACCACAUACAUUUGGAAAAUCACACAACUAAAGGCUUGGCUUCCAUUUUGAAUAGUGACCCUGCAGCCCGCCGCGAUAAUGUGCGAUGAAGUGCUUUUUUUGAAACUUGCCAGAGUGUGUCUCAUCAUACAGUCACAAGAUGGCGCCUUUUCUCCACCAGCAGCAGCAAGCUAGUAGCGGCUAAUUUAACCCGUUGCCCCUCCUCAGCACACUCACAAGAUAAUCAUUCGGCGGUAUCUGAAAAUGAGACUCUGACAUUUAUUGUAAAAACACACAAGUAUUCAAAUAUUUAACACCCCUCAACAAAUAUCUGCUCAAAAUUGGCUUUUUCACUUAAUAUGUAAAUCUAAUUGGUACACGAAUUUUAAUUGGCUUAAUGUAUUUGGUCACCAUGACAAUAAAUUGAUUGUCCCUGUUAAAACAUUUUGAAUUAACAAGCACACAAGUUCUUGCCUGCCACCCCACAGCCAUCUUCCAGGAACCGUGCAGUUGACGCCCUCGGUCAGACAUCCCAGCCCCCGGUUGACUACCCCACCACCACCACCUCCCACCCCUCCUCCUCCUUUUACACACCGGCUCGCAACCAUCUACCCAGCCAGUCACCUCAAGUGCGACCGUCCGGCUGCAGCUCAGGCAAGCAAACAGACCCAGACCAACCAGAGCGAUCCUGCCGCGGGUUUUUGAGAGAGACGCCGGAGCAGAGGAGGAGAAUGGGACGCCGGUGCCUGGAUCAGGACUGAGUCUGGUCGGCACAUUCAGAGCUCCUCCGACCCGUUUCCAAGUCCUUUUCUCCCGACUCAGAGUCACGUUUUCACCGCUGACACAAUGGGCUGCUGCAGCGGACGAUGCACUCUCAUCUUUAUUUGCACUUUACAGUUGGUGUUGGCUUUAGAAAGACAGGUCUUUGACUUCCUGGGUUACCAGUGGGCCCCCAUCCUUGCCAACUUCUUCCACAUCAUCAUCGUCAUCCUCGGCCUCUUUGGCACCAUCCAGUACCGGCCGCGCUACAUUGUGGUGUAUACAGUAUGGGCCGCUCUGUGGGUCGCCUGGAACGUCUUCAUCAUCUGUUUCUACCUGGACGUAGGAGGCCUGUCCAAGGACAGUGACCUGCUGACAUUUAACAUCUCAGCCCAUCACUCGUGGUGGAGCGAACACGGGCCGGGCUGUGUGAGGAGAGAGAUGCCGCAGGCUCCGGGGGUCCGCACCACAGAGAGCCACUCCUACAUCACUGUCAUGGGCUGCCUCAUGGAGUACCAGUACAUCGAGGUGGUGCAUAGCGGCACACAGAUUCUUGUUGCUCUCCUGGGCUUCGUGUACGCCUGUUAUGUUGUCAGCGCUAUCACUGAGGAGGAGGACAGCUACCAGUGGUACACACGUCCAAGCUGUUCUUUGGUGGUCACAUACCAGAGAUUCACUGGCUGUAAGUAGUUAACAUCACCAUCCAACUGAUUUCCCCUCCCAGCUCUGGGCAGCACCACUUAAUCACCAGUCACCCUUAAGUAAUCCCUGGAGGGUAAUACCACUUCAUCAGGAGUGAAGUGAAAAAAAAAAAAGACUUUUGCCCUCAACGUCUUUUCAUUUUGUGUUUGGUGACCUGUGAGCUCCUUUCAUUCCCAGUGUGGACAGUUUGCGCAGAGUGUGUUUGUUUAAAGUCGUAGCAGACAGUCUUUCGCGCUCAAAUACAGAGAUGAAAAUAGCAAGCAAGCAAUAAGGAAAGGUUGCUCAGGGUGAAAACAGAACAUGGUGUGAUUUUUAUUGGUUUUAAUUAUCUUGUAGUUCUUCUCUGAUCCCGACUGUGCUGGAGUAAAACGCAGCUACAUCGCUUCCAACUGCUAGCUCUUUGUUAUUGUAAUCAGCCCUUAGCCUGCACACACACACACACGCACACGCAUAGACACUCACACAUAUUUGUUCAUGAAGACACAGGUGCACAGACACGCACACUCUCGCACCAACACAAAACCCAGCCAAGGCACUUUGCCGCUCUCAUUUUCUCCUCUCAUUUGAUGUGUAGAUUAAAGCAUCAAGCUCCCUGGCUGCAUCAGCAUAUCUCCUCCUACACAGAACUUUUCCUUCUCUUCACUUCUCCCUUGUAUGCUUUAUGGUUUCUUCACAGGUAGAUGGAACAGUCACGAAUCAGAAUCCAGUUCUAGUGUGUUUGAGAAGUCUUGGCUGUCCCCCUCUCUCUGUCUCUUCUCCUGUCUCUGCUUUUUGAGCUUUAAUGAGGUGUGCUUGUAAAAAGUUAGAGGUCUCUGGUCACUCAUUGUAUCAGCCUCAUUAAGCGCCUUGCUGGUCAAUAACUUCACAGUUGAUUGCGCCUCACCGAGACAAGGAAGGUAGGAAGAAUCCUCAGAGACAGAAAGAGAAAGGGAAAGACAGAAAGAGGAGUACGUGAGGGGAGCUGAGGGAGGUGUUUGUCAGGAGCAAGCCAAGGAGGGGAGAAGGAGACGGGGCAAUAUGCAGGAACAAACAACACGAGACAAGAUGAGCUUUUCACGAAUAAGGAGAUGAGACAGGAAUUCUUCACACGACGAGCACUCCCCCACUCUCCACGGAAAGGGUUGAUUUUAUUGGUGGAUUUGACCCAUUCCCACUCUACCAUGUCAAUGAGAAACCAUCUCAUCUCCUCUUAAAGCCCAUGUACCUGUCUACGUAAAUAGGAGAGCGUCCAGCAGGGAGGUGACACAGCAAAUUCCCACGGAGACAAACAUCCCAGUGCACUGGGGACACGCCAGACAUUCCUCCCCCCUUUUUGAUUUCAGUGCUUUAAACAUGUCAUUUACUGGUAUGCUGCCCAGAAAAGCCAACACUUCUCAGUUAGGGUCCAUUGUUUUCCAGGGAGGGAUGACGGGUUCUGGGAACGGGGGGAUUACAGUGCAACAAAGCCUCAUAUUGUGUAUUUAGGGAAGUAUCAAUCAUUUUCUUUGUGUUGAGUUCUCUGCUGAGGUCCCAUCGCUGUGACCUGCCCAUAAUGGUCUAAUACUCCCCAAGAACAUGACUGUAUAGAACAUGUACAGCAUAUAAAUACAUUGUGUAUGUAAUCAGGGACUGCCCAGCAUUCCCAGUCUGCGGUACUGUGUCUUAGAGGACUCAGUGAUUUAGCAUGUUAUUGCCGGUUUGGCUCAGAUCUUGGCUGGAGGGCUGAAUUACAGUGGAGCCUGUGGAAUGAGCUAUUGUGUGCAGCCUGUUUACUUUAGGCCAGGAUCUGUGUGCAUAAAUACACAAAGUAAAGCAGGAAGAGGCAGGGGAGUGGAGAGGUACAGGGAGGGGAGGGAACAAAAGCACCAAACCUACAGGGGCAUCUGUCAAAAAUAGAAAAUGUAAAUAAUGAAACGAGCUGGGGGGUGGUGGGGUGGGGAUGGAGGGGGUUGACAUGUGGUUGAGAGUUAUGGUUGAAAGUUUGACGUGAAAACUAUCAAGAAUGCAAAAGAGCGUUAGCGUGUAAGAGGCGUUCAAACACAGGGAAUGGCAUGCGAGUCUUGCUUUUAUUUCCAGAGUCUUAUUAUUGUGACUAUUUUCACCAACAGCCUCGUCAGUAAUUCUGAAGUGUCAGGUGUUUGUGUCAGACGCUGUGUUGAAAGCUUUGUUUUCACCUCAGUUUUUCUCCUCUAACUACUGACACAUCAGGCUGCUGGCGGGGGGGGGGGGGGGGGUCAUUACACACACUCGAGUAAAGGUUACACAGCAUAUAUUUAACUUCGAGAAAACAAUAGAAAUUGUUUUACGAUUCAUAUUGCACACAACAGUGUUGAGUCUUAUGGGUAUGGUCUUCUGUGUAGAAGUAGCAUGGCUAUACGUGAGUGGAUCAGAGCAUUGUCUCCUGUCACUUCAACAGUUUAGAUUCUCAUUGGUGAUAGUCUCAGUUGUGAUUGUUUUAUAGCAUGUUUUUUACAGGGUUUGUAUUGUAAUUAUGUGUAAAGCAUAUUAAGUAAUGACAAAAUAGCGAAACUGAUGUCUUCACAGUGUAUGAGCUGGAUAAACUGGGUAGUUUCUUAAUCAUAUUUCUUUUAUUCUGACCCAGUAUCAUUAUAACUUGAUUUAGGCAAAAGUGCACACACCUGGGUCAUAUCUCCCAAACUGAGUGGUAGCACUUUUUUUUUUUUUUUGCGCUUAAUGUUUAAUCUAUCAGGACAAAAGUCAGCUAAAGUCAGAUCCCCUGUUGCCUCACUGAUUGUGUGAAUCACUACUGCCCUCUGGUGUUCAGAGUGUUCAUGUACAUGUUGUGAGGCUGCUGAGUCUCUGCCACAAGCCCGCUCUUCCACAAAUCUCCAUAUUUUUUUUUUUUUAACUCAAACUAAUUUUUUUGUUAGCGGAUAACAGUGAAUCUUAAAAUAGCAUGUUGAUACUGAAUAACUGUCAUGUGAGAGGAGUCAGCAAGUUGCCCUGGUUGUUUCAUUGUUACAUUCAGUCCUCUGUCUUUGUCAUUUCGGUUAAGAUCUUUUCUUAGCCACUGAAUUUGAAUACAGAAUAUUUUCAGUACAUCAUUUGUUUGAUUGCAGUAAUUCUUGGUGCGAAUUCUUGAAAUUGACAGCAUAGCUAUUUUUUUCCUAGAAUCAAAAAAAAAGUUGCUUUCUAUUCAUUUUGUUUUUCAGUCCAUUUUGUCUAUUGUUAGCACCUGAAAACAUCCUGCUGGGCCUCAGAUUUCUGUGAUAUUAGAUGUACUGUCACUGCCAGAUAGACAGUCUACAAACUGUUAUGAUUCUGAACUAAUCUCUUGACUAAUUUCAGAAUAAUGUGAGUGAUCUAUUUUGAUGUGAUUGGUCUCUCUAUUGGAAAGAUGCAAUAAUAAUUUAUAAGUCAUUAUUGUCUUUAUAAUUUAAAGUUUACACACUCCUGGUAUGCUAACUGGUGUGUAGAUUAGUAAAAACACAGAGCACCUCAUAUUGUAACAUAAUCAGUAUUAGUAGUAAGAUACUACUAAAAUCAUUAUGUAAAACGAGUCUUCCUCUCAGUGCAAUACAGCCUCUUCCUAAAACCCAGUGACUGGAAUUAGUUAAAACCUGUUAUGGUUGUCUAUGUGUGUUAGUCUCCACUGAAAAAAAGAUUCCACCUCUUUGUAGAUAAUUCUGUUUCUUUGCAUAGAAAGUGGAAAAAGAUUUUUUUUGUAUUUCUCUCUUCUAUUUUGUGUCCUGUGUUGCCCCAUCCCCAUGUGACCUUGAUUGUGUAAUCCUAUUUAUCCAGAACUGUGCUUUGUGUUCAUGUAAAUAGGUGUUUGUUAAUAAAAGAAUGUGCUCUUUUAA